CAGUCGUGCCGGCGUUGGAUUCAGCUUGCUUCGCGGAGCAGGCGCAUUUCCGCGCAUGGCAGGUCAGCGUCAGUUUUGCGCGGCGUGAAAAGGCCCGGGUAAGGUAGCUCUCUUCGGGGAGUGUUAUAGACCUGGGCAGAUGCGCUGCGCGGGACUGAGGAUUGCAGCGGACACCCUUGGGGCUACCCCGUCUGAUCUCUGAAGGUUGCUCCGGUGCCGAAAGCGUGCUUAU
rnacentral:rRNA from 1 species